rnacentral:rRNA from 1 species
UUGCAAGGUCAAGUGAAGAAGGGCGCACGGUGAAUGCCUUGGCACUGGAAGCCGAUGAAGGACGCGACUAACCGCGAAAGUCUUCGGGGAGCCGUAAGUAGGCUUUGAUCCGGAGGUCUCCGAAUGGGGGAACCCAGCAUGUGCAGACAUGCUAUCCUUAAGUGAAUACAUAGCUUAAGGAGGGAACACGCAGUGAACUGAAACAUCUAAGUAGCUGCAGGAAGAGAAAGAAAUAUCGAUUUCCCAAGUAGCGGCGAGCGAACAGGAAAGAGCCCAAACCGGCAGAUUUAUCUGCCGGGGUUGUAGGACUGAGACAUGGCACUUCAGAGGAAGGCCUAUCAGUAUCCUGAGUAGGGCGGGACACGUGAAAUCCCGCUUGAAUCCGCGAGGACCAUCUCGCAAGGCUAAAUACUAACCAGUGACCGAUAGUGAACCAGUACCGUGAGGGAAAGGUGAAAAGAACCCCGGGAGGGGAGUGAAAGAGAACCUGAAACCGUGUGCCUACAAGUAGUCAGAGCCCGUUAACGGGUAAUGGCGUGCC